rnacentral:rRNA from 1 species
CAGUAGCCACGGUAAAACGAAGGGUGCAAGCGUUAAUCGGAAUUACUGGGCGUAAAGCGCACGCAGGCGGUUUGUUAAGUCAGAUGUGAAAUCCCCGAGCUUAACUUGGGAACUGCAUUUGAAACUGGCAAGCUAGAGUCUUGUAGAGGGGGGUAGAAUUCCAGGUGUAGCGGUGAAAUGCGUAGAGAUCUGGAGGAAUACCGGUGGCGAAGGCGGCCCCCUGGACAAAGACUGACGCUCAGGUGCGAAAGCGUGGGGAGCAAACAGGAUUAGAUACCCGUGUAGUCCCUGUCUCUUAUAC